rnacentral:rRNA from 1 species
CUGGGAAACUGCCUGAUGGAGGGGGAUAACUACUGGAAACGGUAGCUAAUACCGCAUAACGUCGCAAGACCAAAGAGGGGGACCUUCGGGCCUCUUGCCAUCGGAUGUGCCCAGAUGGGAUUAGCUAGUAGGUGGGGUAACGGCUCACCUAGGCGACGAUCCCUAGCUGGUCUGAGAGGAUGACCAGCCACACUGGAACUGAGACACGGUCCAGACUCCUACGGGAGGCAGCAGUGGGGAAUAUUGCACAAUGGGCGCAAGCCUGAUGCAGCCAUGCCGCGUGUAUGAAGAAGGCCUUCGGGUUGUAAAGUACUUUCAGCGGGGAGGAAGGGAGUAAAGUUAAUACCUUUGCUCAUUGACGUUACCCGCAGAAGAAGCACCGGCUAACUCCGUGCCAGCAGCCGCGGUAAUACGGAGGGUGCAAGCGUUAAUCGGAAUUACUGGGCGUAAAGCGCACGCAGGCGGUUUGUUAAGUCAGAUGUGAAAUCCCCGGG